CUGAGAUCUUGCCAAGGGUCUGGGGGAACAUUCAACCAGUCGGUGAGUUUGGAGGCCUCAGGCAAACCAUCGGCCGUUGAGUGGACCCUGAGGCCUGGAAUGCCAUCGU
ensembl:miRNA MIR181C microRNA 181c